rnacentral:rRNA from 1 species
GGCGAGUGGCAAACGGGUGAGUAAUACAUCGGAACGUGCCCAGUAGUGGGGGAUAGCCCGGCGAAAGCCGGAUUAAUACCGCAUACGAUCUACGGAUGAAAGCGGGGGACCUUCGGGCCUCGCGCGAUUGGAGCGGCCGAUGUUAGAUUAGGUAGUUGGUGGGGUAAAGGCUCACCAAGCCGACGAUCAGUAGCUGGUCUGAGAGGAUGGACAGCCACAUUGGGACUGAGACACGGCCCAGACUCC